rnacentral:rRNA from 1 species
CGGGGGGCAGCAGUGGGGAAUAUUGGACAAUGGGGGCAACCCUGAUCCAGCAAUGCCGCGUGAAUGAUGAAGGCCUUAGGGUUGUAAAGUUCUUUUAUUGAUGACGAUAAUGACGGUAAUCAAUGAAUAAGCACCGGCUAACUUCGUGCCAGCAGCCGCGGUAAUACGAAGGGUGCUAGCGUUGUUCGGAAUGACUGGGCGUAAAGGGUGCGUAGGCGGCCAGAAACGUCUGAUGUGAAAUCCCUGGGCUUAACCUAGGAACUGCAUUGGAUACGGUCUGGCUAGAGUCCGCGAGAGGAAGAUGGAAUUGUGCGUGUAGAGGUGAAAUUCGUAGAUAUGCACAAGAACACCGGUGGCGAAGGCGAUCUUCUGGAGCGGUACUGACGCUAAGGCACGAAAGUGUGGGGAGCAAACAGGAUUAGAUACCCGAGU